GACGAACGCUGGCGGCGUGCUUAACACAUGCAAGUCGAACGAGAGCGUAGAGAAAGCUUGCUUUUUCUACAAUCUAGUGGCAAACGGGUGAGUAACGCGUAAACAACCUGCCCUACGGAUGGGGACAACAGCUGGAAACGGCUGCUAAUACCGAAUACGUUCCGAAAGUCGCAUGACUAUCGGAAGAAAGGAUGGCCUCUAUUUAUAAGCUAUCGCCGGAGGAGGGGUUUGCGUCUGAUUAGCUAGUUGGAGGGGUAACGGCCCACCAAGGCGACGAUCAGUAGCCGGUCUGAGAGGAUGAACGGCCACAUUGGAACUGAGACACGGUCCAGACUCCUAAGGGAGGCAGCAGUGGGGAAUCUUCCGCAAUAGGCGAAAGCCUGACGGAGCAACGCCGCGUGAGUGAAGACGGCCUUCGGGUUGUAAAGCUCUGUUAUACGGGACGAAUAAUCUUGUGGUUAAUACCCAUGAGAAGUGACGGUACCGUAAGAGAAAGCCACGGCUAACUACGUG
rnacentral:rRNA from 1 species